rnacentral:rRNA from 1 species
AGCGAACGUUAGCGGCGGGCCUAACACAUGCAAGUCGAACGCGAAAGGUCUUCGGACUGAGUAGAGUGGCGCACGGGUGAGUAACACGUAGGUAAUCUACCCUUUGGCGGGGGAUAACGUUCCGAAAGGAGCGCUAAUACCGCAUAAGACCACGGAGUCUCCGGACGCUGUGGGAAAAGGUGGCCUCUUCUUGAAAGCUACCACCGAAGGAUGAGCCUGCGUCCCAUCAGCUAGUUGGUAAGGUAAUGGCUUACCAAGGCGAAGACGGGUAGCUGGUUUGAGAGAAUGAUCAGCCACACUGGCACUGGAACACGGGCCAGACUCCUACGGGAGGCAGCAGUGAGGAAUAUUGGGCAAUGGGCGAAAGCCUGACCCAGCCACGCCGCGUGAGUGAUGAAGGCC